ACAGUGUAACUAGCCUUAUAGAAUAAUUUGUCCAAGCAACAGGUUCUGGAAGAAAUAUUAAAAGUCACUCUUAUAUGUCAUUGAUAGGAAAUUUGAUGCAAGUGUUUUAUAAAACGAAAGGUAAGAUUUUUUCAAAAGGCUAUUUCAUUUAUAGGCUGUUUGUCACUUGUGCCUUCAUUAGAUUAGAUAUUAAAUAUAGCCUUAUUCAUUCACUUUCAUCAUACUUUUAGGUGUUUAUUUUUGAGCUGGACAGCCCUAAUCCUCAUCUACGGUUUUUUUAUAUUAAAACUUUAUAACUUUAUGGAGAUGCAGAUUUCAUUUUCCAACAGGACUUGGCACCUGCACACAGUGCCAAAGCUACCAGUACCUGGUUUAAGGACCAUGGUAUCCCUGUUCUUAAUUGGCCAGCAAACUCUUUUGACCUUAACUCCAUAGAAAAUCUAUGGGGUAUUGUGAAGAGGAAGAUGCGAUAUGCCAGACCCAACAAUGCAGAAGAGCUGAAGGCCACUAUCAGAGCAACCCGGGCUCUCAUAACACCUGAGCAGUGCCACAGACUGAUCGACUCCAUGCCACGCCGCAUUGCUGCAGUAAUUCAGGCAAAAGGAGCCCCAACUAAGUAUUGAGUGCUGUACAUGCUCAUACUUUUUAUGUUCAUACUUUUCAGCUGGCCAAGAUUUCUAAAAAUCCUUUCUUUGUAUUGGUCUUAAGUAAUAUUCUAAUUUUCUGAGAUACUGAAUUUGGGAUUUUCAUUAGCUGUCAGUUAUAAUCAUCAAAUUAAAAGAAAUAAACAUUUGAAAUAUAUCAGUCUGUGUGUAAUGAAUGAAUAUAACAUACAAGUUUCACUUUUUGAAUGGAAUUAGUGAAAUAAAUCAACUUUUUGAUGAUAUUCUAAUUAUAUGACCAGCACCUGUAUAUGACAAAGAGUGGUCCAAACAUUAUUCACUAUAUCUUCUUUUAAGCUCAACAGAAGAAAGACAGAAGGAUUUAAUAUGAUGAGAUGCACAGAGACAACCCAAAAUAACCAGGACAAAAAGGUUUCGACUCACUUUGACUUCAUUGUUGGUGUAAUUGGCAGUGCUGUUCAUGAGGUCAAGCGUGAGGAGUUCCACUGAAUCACUAAGAUGUGAACAUUCAAGAGUGGACAGAUCCAAAAACACAUGAACAGUUUCUCUCGAAUAAGCCCGCAGGUCUCUAUGCAGUCAAGAAUGAUGGCGCUCCAAAGCUUUUCAAUGGCCGGCCGCUGAAGAACAGCAGAAUCGUCCUCCACAUGUCUCAGCCAGAACUCUAAAGUACUCUCAGGCUUGAACAAACCCGGUGCUGAUGUGAUUAUCUUCAUCUAAACCCAUGCCUAACUUAGCUGCUAUUAAGGAAAGCACGGAGAAGCCUUCAGAGACAUCAAGCACGUAGACCGG